rnacentral:rRNA from 1 species
UAAGCAUGCGAGUCGAACGAGUUUAGGCUCGUGGCGUACGGCUCAGUAACACGUGGAUAACCUACCCUUAGGACCGGGAUAACCUUGGGAAACUGAGGAUAAUACUGGAUAGGCAAUUUUUCCUGUAAUGGUUUUUUGUUUAAAUGUUUUUUCGCCUAAGGAUGGGUCUGCGGCCGAUUAGGUAGUUGGUUAGGUAAUGGCUUACCAAGCCGUUGAUCGGUACGGGUUGUGAGAGCAAGAGCCCGGAGAUGGAACCUGAGACAAGGUUCCAGGCCCUACGGGGUGCAGCAGGCGCGAAACCUCCGCAAUGUGAGAAAUCGCGACGGGGGGAUCCCAAGUGCCAUUCUUAACGGGAUGGCUUUUCAUUAGUGUAAAGAGCUUUUGGAAUAAGAGCUGGGCAAGACCGGUGCCAGCCGCCGCGGUAACACCGGCAGCUCUAGUGGUAGCAAUUUUUAUUGGGCCUAAAGCGUCCGUAGCCGGUUUAAUAAGUCUCUGGUGAAAUCCUGUAGCUUAACUGUGGGAAUUGCUGGAGAUACUAUUAGACUUGAGACCGGGAGAGGUUAGAGGUACUCCCAGGGUAGAGGUGAAAUUCUGUAAUCCUGGGAGGACCGCCUGUUGCGAAGGCGUCUAACUGGAACGGUUCUGACGGUGAGGGACGAAAGUUAGGGGCGCGAACCGGAUUAGAUACCCGGGUAGUCCUAACUGUAAACGAUGCGGACUUGGUGUUGGGGUGGCUUUGAGCUGUUCCAGUGCCGAAGGGAAGCUGUUAAGUCCGCCGCCUGGGAAGUACGGUCGCAAGACUGAAACUUAAAGGAAUUGGCGGGGGAGCACCACAACGCGUGGAGCCUGCGGUUUAAUUGGAUUCAACGCCGGACAUCUCACCAGAGGCGACAGCUGUAUGAUAGCCAGGUUGAUGACUUUGCUUGACUAGCUGAGAGGUGGUGCAUGGCC